UGUCACCAGCCCCACUCUGAUGUGGCCGUGACAUCAGUGGGGUUGGUGCCAGCGGCACAGUGUGGGAAGGGACUGGGAGUUGACCUUCCUCAGCAUGUGGCCAUGGAGUCCAGGGAUCUCUCCUGUCGAAUGUUGUCGUGUCAUGGGCUCGUGUCUGUGUCCAGCGGUGAGGCUAGGAGAGAAGUACAGGCAACAAGAGAAGCGCCAUGUCUACUACCAGGCCUCUCCUGGGCCCCCCCUGUCACCAGCCCCACUCUGAUGUGGCCUGACAUCAGUGGGGCUGGUGCCAGUGGCACAAUACGGGAAGAUUGGGAGUUGACCUUCCUCAGCAAGUGGCCAUGGAGUCCAGGGAUCUCUCCUGUCGAAUGUUGUCGUGUCCUGGGCCCGUGUCCAGCGCUGAGGCUAGGAGUGAAGCAAAUUCGGGCAACAAGACAUCAGUGGGGUUGGUGCCAGCGGCACAAUAUAGGAAGGGGCUGGGUGUUGACCUUCCUUAGCCAUGGAGUCCAAGGAUCUCUCCUGUAGAAGCUGAGACUUCCAGCGGAGUGCUGGAAGAAGGCUGUAGCCAUGGUCUUGCUCUGUCCUUUUCCAGGAUUCUCUCUGCAAUAAUAAAUAAUAAAAAAAAAAAACA
rnacentral:lncRNA from 1 species